rnacentral:rRNA from 1 species
AUUGAACGCUGGCGGCAGGCCUAACACAUGCAAGUCGAGCGAGCGGCGGACGGUUGAGUACUGUCUGGGAAACUGCCUGUUGGAGGGGGAUAACUACUGGAAACGGUAGCUAAUACCGCACACCAUCCGAUGUGCCCAGAGGGGAUUAGCUAGUAGGUGGGGUAACGGCUCACCUAGGCGACGAUCCCUAGCUGGUCUGAGAGGAUGACCAGCCACACUGGAACUGAGACACGGUCCAGACUCCUACGGGAGGCAGCAGUAGGGAAUAUUGCACAAUGGGCGAAAGCCUGAUGGAGCCAUGCCGCGUGUGUGAAGAAGGCCUUCGGGUUGUAAAGCACUUUCGGCGGGGAGGCGGUACCCGAAGAAGAAGCACCGGCUAACUCCGUGCCAGCAGCCGCGGUAAUAC